rnacentral:rRNA from 1 species
CGGUGGAGCGAUAGUGGUUUAAUUUCGAGUGCAACGCGAAGAACCUUACCUACUCUUGACAUCCAGAGAACUUAGCAGAGAUGCUUUGGUGCCUUCGGGAACUCUGAGACAGGUGCUGCAUGGCUGUCGUCAGCUCGUGUUGUGAAAUGUUGGGUUAAGUCCCGCAACGAGCGCAACCCUUAUCCUUUGUUGCCAGCGGUCCGGCCGGGAACUCAAAGGAGACUGCCAGUGAUAAACUGGAGGAAGGUGGGAUGACGUCAAGUCAUCAUGGCCCUUACGAGUAGGGCUACACACGUGCUACAAUGGCGCAUACAAAGAGAAGCGAACUCGCGAGAGCAAGCGGACCUCAUAAAGUGCGUCGUAGUCCGGAUUGGAGUCUGCAACUCGACUCCAUGAAGUCGGAAUCGCUAGUAAUCGUAGAUCAGAAUGCUACGGUGAAUACGUUCCCGGGCCUU